rnacentral:rRNA from 1 species
UAAUACGGAGGGGGCUAGCGUUGUUCGGAAUUACUGGGCGUAAAGCGCGCGUAGGCGGCUUGCCAAGUUGGGCGUGAAAGCCCGGGGCUCAACCCCGGAAUUGCGCUCGAAACUGGCAGGCUAGAGACCGGGAGAGGAGAGUGGAAUUCCCAGUGUAGAGGUGAAAUUCGUAGAUAUUGGGAAGAACACCAGUGGCGAAGGCGGCUCUCUGGCCCGGACCUGACGCUGAGGCGCGAAAGCGUGGGGAGCAAACAGGAUUAGAUACCCUGGUAGUCCACGCCGUAAACGAUGAGUGCUAGACGUCGGGGGGCAUGCCCUUCGGUGUCGCAGCUAACGCAUUAAGCACUCCGCCUGGGGAGUACGGCCGCAAGGUUA